CUGACACUUUAGGAUUCUUCUUCACCUCAUUGAGCAGUCUGCGCUGUGCUCUUGCAGUCAUCUUUACAGGACGGCCACUCCUAGGGAGAGUAGCAGCAGUGCUGAACUUUCUCCAUUUAUAGACAAUUUGUCUUACCGUGGACUGAUGAACAGCAAGGCUUUUGGAGAUACUUUUAUAACCCUUUCCAGCUUUAUGCAAGUCAACAAUUCUUAAUCGUAGGUCUUCUGAG